UCGUCUAUUCUCACAUCAUAUCCACAUACAUAUGUCCACUAGCAACUCAUGCAACAUGUAUACAUACAUCUAUAUUGGCAUCAUUUAUAGGUUCUCAUGCAACAUACAUGUCCAUAUCUAUCUCAACAUCAUGCAAAUAGAUAUUCCUACAAGUAUCAUGCAAUCAUGGAUCAUCAUCCCUCACACUAAGCAUGCAAUUACCAC
rnacentral:lncRNA from 1 species